rnacentral:rRNA from 1 species
GAUGAACGCUGGCGGCGUGCCUAAUACAUGCAAGUCGAGCGAACAGACGAGGCGCUUGCUCCUCUGACGUUAGCGGCGGACGGGUGAGUCACCCGUGGAUAACCUACCUAUAUGACUGGGAUAACUUCGGGAAACCGGAGCUAAUCCCGGAUAAUAUCUUGAACCGCAUGGUUCAAUAGUGAAAGACGGUUUUGCUGUCACUUAUCGAUGGAUCCGCGCCGCAUUAGCUAGUUGGUAAGGUAACGGCCUACCAAGGCAACGAUGCGUAGCCGACCUGAGAGGGUGAUCGGCCACACUGGAACUGAGACACGGUCCAGACUCCUACGGGAGGCAGCAGUAGGGAAUCUUCCGCAAUGGGCGAAAGCCUGACGGAGCAACGCCGCGUGAGUGAUGAAGGUCUUCGGAUCGUAAAACUCUGUUAUUAGGGAAGAACAAAUGUGUAAGUAACUAUGCACGUCUUGACGGUACCUAAUCAGAAAGCCACGGCUAACUACGUG